UGGGGAAUAUUGCACAAUGGGCGCAAGCCUGAUGCAGCAACGCCGCGUGAGGGACGACGGCCUUCGGGUUGUAAACCUCUUUUAGUAGGGAAGAAGCGAAAGUGACGGUACCUGCAGAAAAAGCACCGGCUAACUACGUGCCAGCAGCCGCGGUAAUACGUAGGGUGCGAGCGUUGUCCGGAAUUAUUGGGCGUAAAGAGCUCGUAGGCGGUCUGUCGCGUCUGCUGUGAAAACCCCGAGGCUCAACCUCGGGCCUGCAGUGGGUACGGGCAGACUAGAGUGCGGUAGGGGAGAAUGGAAUUCCUGGUGUAGCGGUGGAAUGCGCAGAUAUCAGGAGGAACACCGAUGGCGAAGGCAGUUCUCUGGGCCGUAACUGACGCUGAGGAGCGAAAGCGUGGGGAGCGAACAGGAUUAGAUACCCUGGUAGUCCACGCCGUAAACGUUGGGCGCUAGAUGUGGGGCACCAUUCCACGGUUUCCGUGUCGCAGCUAACGCAUUAAGCGCCCCGCCUGGGGCAGUACGGCCGCAAGGCUAAAA
rnacentral:rRNA from 1 species